GGGCAGUGUGGUCUGUGGAGGAGGGGAUGAGGGGCAGUGUGGUCUGUGGAGGAGGGGAUGAGGGGCAGUGUGGUCUGUGGAGGAGGGGAUGAGGGGCAGUGCGGUCUGUGGAGGAGGGGAUGAGGGGCAGUGUGGUCUGUGGAGGAGGGGAUGAGGGGCAGUGUAGUGAUGGGAGGAGGGGAUGAGGGGCAGUGUAGUGAGUGGAAGAGAAGAUGAGGGGCAGUGUAGUGUGUGGAGGAGAAGAUGAGGGGCAGUGUAGUGUGUGGAGGAGAAGAUGAGGGGCAGUGUGGUCUGUGGAGGAGGGGAUGAGGGGCAGUGUAGUGUGUGGAGGAGGUGAUGAGGGGCAGUGUAGUGUGUGGAGGAGAAGAUGAGGGGCAGUGUAGUGUGUGGAGGAGAAGAUGAGGGGCAGUGUGGUCUGUGGAGGAGGGGAUGAGGGGCAGUGUAGUGUGUGGAGGAGGUGGUGAGGGGCAGUGUGGUCUGUGGAGGAGGGGAUGAAGGGCAG
ensembl:lncRNA